UAUAUCAAAGAUCAGCAAUAUGACUGGAAAAGCUGUAAAUCAAGUGGUAUGAAGUAUAAACACCUCAUACAGAAGAGCAGCAUGUUUCAAGGAUAGAACAAAGGCUAGAAAUGCAAGAGAAGCUUUAGUUCUAAACAACACCUUGUGGGUCUUAAUAUAAAUGCAGCAUUAAUCACCAACGAUUCAGAUUGAUAACACCAGACAAGAGAAAGGGUCAUCCAUUGUGCUUAGAGCAACCACUUCACUUGAUGUUGUCUCAUACUACAGUCUAUCAGUUGCACCAAAAUCUGUAUAUGGCCACCAAUUCAGGUCAACUGAGGCGGCACUUCAUGCAGUAGCUACAUGAUACAGAUACAUAUCCCACCACCCAUGGAAGCAGUUCAUUGCAAGAGACAUGCAAAGAAACAACUGAAGAAGAACAAAUGUUUAAAAGAAAAUGUGAAGAUUCUACAUGGUAAAUGAUUUAUAAUAAAAAAAUAUAUAAAUUUGAA